CAUGGGGGCAGGUCUCUCCCAUGCUGUUCUCCUGAUAGCGAGUAAGUCUUACAAGACCUGACGGUAUUAUAAGAGGGAGUUUUCCUGCCCAAUCUCUCUUUGCCUGCUGCCAUCCACAUAAGACAUGAUUUACUCCUCCUUGCCUUCUGCCAUGAUUUUGAGGCCUCCCCAGCCAUGUGGGACUACAGGGUCUCACUUUGUCACCCAGCCUGGAGUCUAGUAGUGUGAUGAUAGCUCACUGCAGCCUAGACCUGUCCAGGCUCAAGCAGUCCUCCCACCUCAGCCCCAUGGAGUAGAUGGGAUUACAGGGUGUUGGUCUUCAUAAAUAUAUUUGAUGAAACUCACUGAUCAGGGACCAGAGGAUCUGAGUCAUCAGGUGCUGUUCCAACCUCACCAUGCAUUUCUGCUAGAACAGCUAGAGCUUAACAUGCCACCAGCCUUAGUGCCAUUCCUUGACCUCUCCUGAGUAGACUGCCAAAAACAAGUAACAAUGGAGGGUCUAUCAUGCAUCAGUCGGUUUUCACUGUGGACCCACAGUGAACUGCAGAUGAAGUUCCAUUUUCACUGCGUGCAUAGACUUGUGCAAUGUUUACAGACUGAUCGCGAAGGGUAUUUAUUGCUAUAAACUUCCUGCUUAGAAUUGCUUUGCUGCAUCACGCUCCUAGGUGGAAGAGACUUCCCUUGUCUCCAAUGAGACAUUGGACUGUGGACCUUUGAGUUAAUGCUGCAAUAAGUUAAGACUUUGGGGUAACUGUUGGAAAGGCAUGAUUGUAUUUUGAAAUGUGAGGACAUGAGAUUUGGGAUGAGCCGGGGCAGAAUAACAUGGUGUGGCUCUGUCACCACCCAAAGUUUUAUCUUGGAUUGUAGUUUUUCUAAUUCCCACGUGUCAAAAGGGAGACCAGGUGGAGGUAAUUGAAUCACGGUGGUGGUUUCCCUCACACUGUUCUCAUGACAGUGGGUGAGUUCCCUUGAGAUCUGAUGCUUUUAUAAGUGUUUGGUAGUUCCUCCUGCAAUUAUUCUGCUUCCUGCCUCCUUGUGAAGAAGGUGCCUUGCUUUCCCUUCACCUUCUGCCAUGAUUGUAAGCUUUCUGAGGGCUUGCCAGCCGUGCAGAACUGUGAAUCAAUUAAACCUCUUUCUUUUAUAAAUUACCCAGUCUUGGGAAGUUCUUUAUAGCAGUGUGAAAACAGGCUAAUACGCUGGGGGACCUGAGCACCAGUUCAUUAUGCUCUCAUUUUUUCCUGUAAGAAAAAUCAUGGGCCAAGGGGUCUCUCUUGGCACUCAGCUGUGUAGACUUGCAGGAGUGGCAAAAUGGGCAAAGUAAAGCUAUUAUUUUUAUCCUCUU
rnacentral:lncRNA from 10 species